GUGGGGAAUUUUGGACAAUGGGCGCAAGCCUGAUCCAGCAAUGCCGCGUGCAGGAAGAAGGCCUUCGGGUUGUAAACUGCUUUUGUACGGAACGAAAAGGCUCUGGUUAAUACCUGGGGCUCAUGACGGUACCGUAAGAAUAAGCACCGGCUAACUACGUGCCAGCAGCCGCGGUAAUACGUAGGGUGCAAGCGUUAAUCGGAAUUACUGGGCGUAAAGCGUGCGCAGGCGGUUUUGUAAGACAGACGUGAAAUCCCCGGGCUCAACCUGGGAAUGGCGUUUGUGACUGCAAAGCUGGAGUGCGGCAGAGGGGGAUGGAAUUCCGCGUGUAGCAGUGAAAUGCGUAGAUAUGCGGAGGAACACCGAUGGCGAAGGCAAUCCCCUGGGCCUGCACUGACGCUCAUGUACGAAAGCGUGGGGAGCAAACAGGAUUAGAUACCCUGGUAGUCC
rnacentral:rRNA from 1 species